CCUACGGGAGGCAGCAGUGAGGAAUAUUGGUCAAUGGGCGGGAGCCUGAACCAGCCAAGUCGCGUGAGGGAAGACGGUCCUAUGGAUUGUAAACCUCUUUAGGCGGGGAGCAAUGCCGGGCACGCGUGCACGGAGGGAGAGUACCCGCAGAAUAAGCAUCGGCUACCUCCGUGCCAGGCGCCGCGGUAAUACGGAGGAUGCGAGGGUUAUCCGGAUUUAUGGGGUUAAAGGGGUGCGUAGGCGGAUGUUUAAGUCAGCGGUAAAAUGUCCGGGCUCAACCCGGGCCGGCCGUUGAAACUGGGGAGCUGGAGUGGGCGAGAAGUAAGCGGAAUGCGUGGUGUAGCGGUGAAAUGCAGAGAUAUCACGCAGAACUCCGAUUGCGAAGGCAGCAUACCGG
rnacentral:rRNA from 1 species